AGUUUAAUGAGUGAGGUAGUGAAGGUAUAGCUGUUAUUGUUGCCGUUAGUGAUAAGCACGCCUGGCACUUCCAUCAUCAUCAUCAUUCCCUCCAACCUCUCUCUCUCUCUCUCUCUCUCUCUCUCUACAAUUCUUCUUCUUCUUUCUCAGCCCCACUUUCCUUUCUUUUCUUUUCCUUUUUCUCUGUCUCACUUUUCUUUCUUUUCUUUUCCAUCCCACAAACAAAAAAUCUAAAAAUUUCGUAUUUUGAUUCUCUCUUUUAAUCUCAAUCGUUGAGAUUGGAUCUGGGUUCUUCUUCAUUUCAAUUCUCAUCUUCAUUUCCAGGUUCUUUCUGUUUCUAUCUUCAAGCCAGAGUUGUGAAAACCAAGUAGUUAAAGCUCCAAAAACAGUAUGUCUGUUUCCAUGAGAGAUUUGGAUGAAAUUUUCCAGGGAGCUGGACAAAAGGCUGGACUUGAAAUUUGGCGCAUUGAAAACUUUCGUCCUAUUCCUGUGCCAAAGUCUUCUCAUGGCAAAUUUUUCAUGGGAGACUCCUAUGUGAUCUUGAAGACGACUGCUUUAAAAAGCGGUGCCUUGCGUCAUGAUAUCCAUUACUGGCUUGGUAAAGAUACAUCUCAGGAUGAAGCUGGUACGGCAGCCAUCAAGACAGUUGAACUUGAUGCAGCUCUUGGAGGACGUGCUGUUCAGUAUCGUGAAAUACAGGGCCAUGAAACCGAAAAGUUUCUAUCCUAUUUUAAACCGUGUAUUAUACCUCAAGAAGGUGGAGUUUCUUCAGGAUUCAAGCAUGCUGAGGCUGAAGAACACAAGACACGGUUAUAUGUUUGCAAAGGAAAACAUGUUGUUCAUGUAAAGGAGGUUCCCUUUGCUCGAUCUUCCCUUAAUCAUGAUGACAUUUUUAUUCUGGAUACCAAGUCUAAAAUUUUUCAAUUUAAUGGUUCCAACUCAUCUAUUCAAGAGAGGGCUAAAGCAUUAGAGGUUGUCCAGUACAUUAAAGAUACUUAUCAUGAUGGCAAAUGUGAAGUAGCUGCUGUUGAGGAUGGAAAGUUGAUGGCUGAUGCUGAAGCUGGUGAAUUUUGGGGUUUCUUUGGUGGCUUUGCUCCACUUCCUAGGAAAACAGCUAGCGAUGAGGAUAAGGCUGUUGAUUCUCAUCCUACUAAGCUACUUCGCAUUGAGAAGGGGAAAGCAGGACCUGUCGAUGCUGAUUCUUUGACAAGGGACUUGCUAGACACAAAUAUAUGCUAUGUACUAGAUUGUGGUAUAGAAGUGUAUGUAUGGAUGGGGAGAAAUACCUCUCUUGAUGAUAGAAAGAGUGCAAGCGAAGCUGCAGAAGAGUUAGUCCGUGGCCCUGAUAGACCUCAAGCACACAUUAUUCGUGUAAUUGAGGGUUUCGAGACAGUGAUGUUCCGCUCCAAGUUUGAUUCAUGGCCUGAGACAACUAAUAUAGCUGUGUCAGAGGAUGGUAGAGGCAAAGUUGCAGCAUUGCUAAAACGCCAAGGGGUUAACGUGAAGGGUCUGUUGAAAGCUGAUCCUGUUAAAGAAGAACCUCAACCAUAUAUUGACUGCACUGGAAAUCUACAGGUCUGGCAUGUGAAUGGCCAGGAAAAGACUCUCCUUCCAGCUUCUGAUCAGUCGAAAUUUUACAGUGGAGAUUGCUAUAUCUUUCAGUAUUCAUAUCCUGGAGAAGAUAAAGAGGAAUACCUUAUAGGAACAUGGUUUGGAAAGCUGAGUGUUGAGGAUGAAAGGGCUUCAGCAAUGUCACUGGCAAGCAAGAUGGUUGAGUCCUUGAAGUUUCUGCCCACCCAGGCUCGCAUCUAUGAGGGAAAAGAACCAAUUCAGUUUUAUUCAAUCUUCCAGAGCUUUAUUGUUUUCAAGGGCGGUCUUAGCGAUGGAUACAAAAAUUACAUUGCAGAGAAAGAAAUUCCUGAUGAGACAUAUAAAGAGGAUGGAGUUGCAUUAUUUCGAGUCCAGGGCACUGGACCUGAUAAUAUGCAAGCAAUACAAGUUGAAGCAGCUGCAUCAUCUUUGAAUUCUUCGUACUGUUACAUUUUACAUAGUGACUCCACCGUCUUUACAUGGUCUGGAAACCUCACAUCUGCAAAUGACCAGGAGCUGGUUGAGAGGCAGCUCGAUCUGAUAAAGCCAAAUAUACAAUCCAAAACACAAAAGGAGGGUGCUGAAUCUGAACAGUUUUGGGGUUUGUUAGGAGGAAAAUCCGAAUACCCCAGCCAAAAGAUUGUCAAGGAUGCUGAAAGCGAUCCUCACCUAUUUUCUUGCCAUUUCUCAAAAGGAAAUUUGAAGGUGACAGAGAUUUACAACUUCACCCAGGACGAUUUGAUGACUGAAGAUAUAUUCAUCCUGGACUGUCAGUCAGAGAUCUUUGUCUGGGUUGGCCAACAGGUCGAUUCCAAAAAUAGAGUGCAUGCUUUAACCAUUGGGGAGAAAUUUCUUGAGCAUGAUUUUCUUCUAGAAAAGCUAUCCCAUGAAGCUCCAGUAUAUAUUGUCAUGGAAGGAAGUGAGCCACCUUUCUUCACACGCUUCUUCACAUGGGACUCUGGAAAAUUUUCUAUGAUCGGGAACUCAUUUCAAAGGAAACUUACCUUAGUGAAAAACGGGGCUACUCCAACUGUUGAUAAACCCAAACGUAGAACACCUGUAUCUUAUGGAGGAAGAUCCAGUGUUCCAGACAAAAAUCAGCGUUCUAGAAGCAUGUCUUUCAGCCCUGACCGAGUUCGUGUAAGGGGUAGGUCUCCAGCUUUCAAUGCACUAGCGGCUACUUUUGAGAACCCUAAUAAUGCCAGAAACCUUUCAACUCCACCCCCGGUCGUCAGAAAACUCUACCCACGAUCUGUGACCCCAGAUUCAGCAAAACUGGCAUCCAAGUCUGCAGCUAUAGCAGCACUAACUGCCACUUUUGAACAGCCACCACCAGCACGAGAAGUUAUUAUACCUCGAUCUGUCAAGGUGAGCCCGGAGGCCAUCAAGCCAAAGCCAAAACCAGAGACAAAUGAUAAUAAGGAGAAUUCUAUGAUCAGCAGAAUAGGAUCCCUUACUAUACAGGAAGAUGUGAAAGAGGGUGAAGCUGAAGAUGAUGAAGGUCUCCCAAUAUACCCAUAUGAACGCCUUAAAAUUUCGUCAACAGAUCCUGCUGCGGAGAUUGAUGUGACCAAGCGAGAGACGUAUCUGUCGUCAGAGGAAUUCAGGGAGAAAUUCGGGAUGGGAAAGGAUGCGUUUUACAAAUUGCCCAAAUGGAAACAAAACAAGCUCAAAAUGGCCCUUCAAUUAUUCUGAGUCCUUUAUUCCCAUCCUUUUCAGCAACUCCCUGCAGUUUAAAUUGCAGGUGGAAGAAAACUUGCUCGCAAAUCUUGGGGGAACUCAUUCUCAGGAGUACAAGGGACAGCAUCAGUGCAUUUUUAGCUGCUUCUGCUCCCAAGAAGCUUGUUUUCUUGAUAAAUGGACAGAAACAGAGAUUUUUUUCUCCUACCUCACCCCCCCCCCCUUUUUUUCUUUUCUGGUGGUUUGAAUGUCUAGCUUUGUAUUUUUGUUGAGUUAGCUGCUUGGUAUUCUUUUUGGUCACAGGUUUGUUGUGAGCUUGCAUUUUUGUUCAUCUUCAUUUUCAUUUUUUUUGAAAAAAAUUCAAAUUGAUUUUCAGUAGAGCGAUAGGGUCUUGCGAAUGCAGAGUCUACUUAGGUUGUAUUGAUAACUGAGGAUGGAAGUAUGUACAGCAGAGUAUAAGAACCAGUUCACUUUAUUUAUUUGUUUUUGACAAUAAAGGUGUGAUUUUUUUUUCUUGUU